GUACUCUUUAAAGGUCCAACCUCCUUGCAAUGAGCAGGGAUGUCUUCCACUAGAUCAGGAUACUUAGAUCUCCAUUCAACCUUGAGUGCUUCCAGCAAUGGGGCAUCUACCACUUCUCCAGGAAACUUGGAUGUCCAGAAGUUGUCAGAACAUCAUAUUCUUAAAGAUUCUUGCUUUGUGGGAGCUUCUAUUGGAUACAGCACAAGAAGACUGAAGUAAAUCAGUUCCUGUUCUCAAUUCCUUUGGAUUUUUCAUAGGAUCUGAAGUAUGACACCAGACUGCCUCUAUGCAGAGAAAUAGAUGUUUUUAGGAUGUGAUUCAUCUGAAGAAAUGCAUCUAAAAUUAUUCAGGUUGAGCUAUGAGCAGAGGCACCCAUGUUGAGGCAAGCAGAUGUUGAAGUAGCUGUGAUCCAGUGAGAAGCCUGAACAGAGAUAGGAGAGAAAUGAGAAACCUUGCCCCAGGGAUGAAAGAAUAAAACCUCUGUUCCAGAGAUAAAAGAAGUUUUUGUUUCUAUGCUAUAACAGCUCAUCCUUAAAAUUGUACUCCAAUAAACUGAAGUGACCCAUGGUGUUAGUUGUGGGAAAACUACAAAAUUGUGGGAGGGACUUCACGAUUGCAGAUAUCUGGGCAGCUGCUAUUCAUGAAAAUUAAAACCACAAGAGAACUCUUUCUUGUAGAAAAGUCUCCAUGGCAUGGCAGAAAAAACUUGUAAGUGGACUGAAGAAAGAUUAUUUUAAAAGUGGUAAACUGACUGAAAACACCAUAUUUGUCUCUUUACAUUGCCAGUGGGGAAAAAAAAAAAGUGCAGGGGAGGAGAAGUGUUUUGAAGGUUUAUUCUGAUUUCUUAUAAAUUUUCUUUCAGUUCUGUUAAUAAAGUUUUCAUUAUACCUUUUAAAGGUUUGAGCCUGCUUUGCUCUCGCCCUAAUCCUUAUCUCGCAGCAGAAAAUGAGUAAAUAAUUCUAGUGGGUGCACUGGUGUUAGGCCAGCACUAGACCCACCACAUUAAUUGGUGCAUUGGCUGGGAAACUCAGAUUGGUGAACAAAAACCACUACACUUAACUGGUGUUUCUGCCCAGUUUAACCAAAACCA